UUUAAUAAUGUUCGGGUGUUUAAGAAGACCGGCCUCGACAUCAACCAACUAAGGAGCCGAAAAACAUUCACAUAUUUGAACGACGACUUUUGAGAACUGGUUUCUAAUACCUGUCUUGCAUCGCAUGUUUACGUCAUCGUGAGCUGACUGAAUGUUCCGAAGAUCUCAAAUACGUCAUCGUUUGAGAAAGGUUCAAGAAAAUUUCCUAAUAUUAUUCGAUUAUUCAAGAAGACCGGCCACGAUAUCAACCAACUAAGGCCAACUGAACGAUUUCGAUUGUUGUUUAUGUUUGUUGUACGAACGCUUGAUGUAGAAUCAGAGCCAUCGGGUGAAAAGCAAAGGGCGCGAAGAUGGAAGAUAGGACUCUACGCUUCGCUAGAGGAUUCUUCACUUGUGUGGUACUACAAAUUUCGUCUGUCGAUUUAUUAGUUAGUCAGCAAGGAAUGACUAGAUAGGGUUCGACAGACGAAUCUAAACUAAGUGUUUUAAUAACUCUUAUUACGAAUGGUUACCGAAGAACAACUCAGUCCGGCGGGUAAUAGGAAUUUAAGAAUUCAAAUGAUUUUUAAUAUGAUCUGCUCUUUAUGGGCGUGUACAUAAUUCAUACAUUAAUCAGUAUAAAUUACUGAUUGAACUUUUAUUCAACAUCAUUCUGAUGUAUCGAUCCACACAGUAAUAAUUUCGUGGACGAUUUCUUACGAUUAAUAUUUGAAAUAGGGAAAACUAACCAUAUUUUCUUUUAAUAAUGCCGAAACCUUUCAAUAAUUAUCAUAACAAUGUGAUAUCUUUAAAAUUAAACAAAAUUUGCUCUUUUGACCGACUGAAUUUAAUAAAGAAGGGUUUCGGUUAGGCUUAACACUGCACUGAUUUAUGUGUUGUUAGUUAGAUAGGGCGUUAGGUUUAUUUUUUUAUUUUUGGGAUUAAGCUUCAAAGUCUCCUAAAUUAAAUUGGUCACAUGGAGCACAUAUUUGGAUGAGACUUGAAGUUUUUUCCUUGUUAGGCCAUAGUACAGGGUCUCACAAAUUGUGAGACGAAGCAGACGAAAGACAUCGGAA